UACGGGGUGCAGCAGUGGGGAAUAUUGGACAAUGGGGGCAACCCUGAUCCAGCCAUGCCGCGUGUGUGAAGAAGGCCUUUUGGUUGUAAAGCACUUUAAGCAGUGAAGAAGACUCUAUGGUUAAUACCCAUAGACCGAUGACAUAGCU
rnacentral:rRNA from 1 species